AAAAAAAAGUGCUUGGAAAAGUCUUUCAAAGUUAAGCAAACUAGAAGAAGAAGGAAAAAUCCAACAUUAUUAUUCUGGUUAUAUUGGGUCUGGAAAGCGCAUGGAAAUUGGCAGUUCAUUUCCGUCACAUUACAAAACUGCUUCUGAUUUUUGCAUAAACUUUAAUGAAACUAUUGUAAAUCGACUUUUAUUUACGUGCUGCGUUGAUG